rnacentral:rRNA from 1 species
UUUUGGUAGCCAUAGUGCAGCAGACCCACCUGAACCCAUGCCGAACUCAGAAGUGAAAUGUUGUAACGCCGAUGGUAGUGUGGGGUUUCCCCAUGUGAGAGUAGGUCACUACCAAAUAU